GAUGAACGCUGGCGGCGUGCCUAAUACAUGCAAGUCGAGCGAACGGACGAGAAGCUUGCUUCUCUGAUGUUAGCGGCGGACGGGUGAGUAACACGUGGAUAACCUACCUAUAAGACUGGGAUAACUUCGGGAAACCGGAGCUAAUACCGGAUAAUAUUUUGAACCGCAUGGUUCAAAAGUGAAAGACGGUCUUGCUGUCACGUAUAGAUGGAUCCGCGCUGCAUUAGCUAGUUGGUAAGGUAACGGCUUACCAAGGCAACGAUGCAUAGCCGACCUGAGAGGGUGAUCGGCCACACUGGAACUGAGACACGGUCCAGACUCCUACGGGAGGCAGCAGUAGGGAAUCUUCCGCAAUGGGCGAAAGCCUGGCGGAGCAACGCCGCGUGAGUGAUGAAGGUCUUCGGAUCGUAAAACUCUGUUAUUAGGGAAGAACAUAUGUGUAAGUAACUGUGCACAUCUUGACGGUACCUAAUCAGAAAGCCACGGCUAACUACGUG
rnacentral:rRNA from 1 species